GCGUUUACUUUUCUACAUUGGCUAGAGGUAUAGGGGGAGGGUUGAGAUCUCACAAACAUGUUUAACCCCGCCGCAUUUUUGCGCCUGUCCCAAGUCAGGAGCCUCUGGCCUUUGUUAGUCUUGUAUUAUUUUAAUUUUAGUUUCUUGUGUAAAAUUUGGAAAUUAGUAUGGCGUUCAUUAUCACUGAACUAGUAUAUAUUUGUUUAGGGGCCAGCUGAAGGACGCCUCCGGGUGCGGGAAUUUCUCGCUACAUUGAAGACCUGUUGGUGACCUUCUGCUGUUGUUUUUUUAAAUGGUCGGGUUGUUGUCUCUUUGGCACAUUCCCCAUUUCCAUUCUCAAUUUUAU
rnacentral:lncRNA from 1 species